UCGCCAAGAAGCAGAAGAAGGAGCACCAGUUUUUCCUUGAUCUAGCUGUGUGUCGUUCCGUCUUGUCUGGACUAAGGCCUUUCCGAUGCUUCUUCAAAACGAGUGUCGAAGAACGCGUAACAAGUGAGCCUGUAAAAACAAUUCAUAAUCCAUUUGAAGGAAUUACAUCCGUCCGCCUGCUUGUUCCAUGCCUAUAGGAAUAGGGAUAAAUUAGCGCACUCGGGCGGACUGCGCAUUGAGAGCAGUGGUAGCGCCGACGACAGACAAGGGACUGCGGUAGCGAGCUUCCUGGCAAACAAGGCGUUGUGCUGUUUCCGGUAGUCAUAGCUGGAGCUCACUGAUCGUCGACCAACGUGUCUCUUAGCCAAUACUAUCUGCUCAGCAUAGUUCAAAGAUAACACAGAUGCAGAGAAAGGAGAAUGCCAGUUGGGAGUUGGCUGGGGAAGGAGCCGAGGCUCCUCACGCACCGAACGAACAAAAAUAGGACGAAAAGCCUUAGAACAGACUACCGCCGCCUAACUAAAAAUUCUCAAGAGAGUUUAAAUUUAUGCUUUUAAUGUCAAGUGAAUACGUUGGAAUCGUUUAUGACGACAGGAUGAGACGGGGCGAAUCAAGUUUUCAUAAA